rnacentral:misc_RNA from 1 species
AUCCUUUAACCACUCUCCUCUUCCUCGCGGUUUUAGUUGCCUCUUCUGUAACCCAUGUCAGAUCGGACGCAUCUGACCACCGUUAUAAGGACGGUGAUCCUGUUCCUCUCUACGCCAACAAGGUUGGACCUUUUCACAACCCAAGGUAAUUCGAUCAUUUGCCCUCUUUCCUCGUUCCUCUCAUUGAUCUGUCUUAUUGAUUUACUGGAUCUGGGUUAUUGAUUUCGCUUUCGAAUUCAUAUAGCCCUGUUUGGAUGGAUGUUGAUUAUUGGAUUAGGAAAAUGUGAAUUAGAGAAUGAGACCCGCAAUGUAUAUUUGGGUUUUAAGUUUUGGGAAUUGAAUAAAAGAAUGGUGCCAAAUGCGUCCGUAUGCGAUUCUAAUUUUAUUUGCAAUGUUUUUUUAAUUUCAAUUUUGAUGUAGUAGUGUUUCCCGCCCUUUUGAGUUGUUAUUGAUUUUGUAUUGUUACUUGGCUGAUUUUUCAGCGAAACGUAUCGCUAUUUCGAUCUG